GAUGAACGCUGACAGAAUGCUUAACACAUGCAAGUCGAUUCGAUUUACCUUCGGGUAUUGAGGAUGGCGGACGGGUGAGUAACGCGUAAGGAACUUGCCUCUUGGUCUGGGACAACUGUUGGAAACGACAGCUAAUACCGGAUAUUAUGAGAUUCUCGCAUGGGAAACUUAUGAAAGCUAUAUGCGCCAAGAGAGAGCCUUGCGUUCCAUUAGCUAGUUGGUGGGGUAACGGCCCACCAAGGCGACGAUGGAUAGCCGGCCUGAGAGGGUGAACGGCCACAAGGGGACUGAGACACGGCCCUUACUCCUACGGGAGGCAGCAGUGGGGAAUAUUGGACAAUGGACCAAAAGUCUGAUCCAGCAAUUCUGUGUGCACGAUGAAGGUCUUCGGAUUGUAAAGUGCUUUCAGUUGGGAAGAAGCAAGUGACGGUACCAACAGAAGAAGCGACGGCUAAAUACGUGCCAGCAGCCGCGGUAAUACGUAUGUCGCAAGCGUUAUCCGGAUUUAUUGGGCGUAAAGCGCGUCUAGGCGGAAAAAUAAGUCUGAUGUUAAAAUGCGGGGCUCAACUCCGUAUUGCGUUGGAAACUGUUUUUCUAGAGUACUGGAGAGGUGGGCGGAACUACAAGUGUAGAGGUGAAAUUCGUANAUAUUUGUAGGAAUGCCGAUGGAGAA
rnacentral:rRNA from 1 species